GAUGAACGCUGGCGGCGUGCCUAAUACAUGCAAGUCGAGCGAACAGACGAGGAGCUUGCUCCUCUGACGUUUGCGGCGGACGGGUGAGUAACACGUGGAUCCCCUACCUAUAAGACUGGGAUCACUUCGGGACACCGGAGCUAAUACCGUAUAAUCUAUUGAACCGCAUUGUUCAAUAGUGAAAUACGAUUUUGCUGCUACUUAUUGAUUGAUCCUCGCCGCAUUGGCUUGUUGGUAUGGUAACGGCUUACCAAGGCAACGAUUAGUAGCCGACCUGAGAGGGUGAUAGGCAACACUGGAACUGAGACACGGUCCAGACUCCUACGGGAGGAAGAAGAAGGGAAUCUUGCGCAAUGGGCGAAAGCCGGACGGAGAAACGCGGGGGGAGGGAGGAAGGUCUUCGGAUCGAAAAACCCUGUUAUUAGGGAAGAACAAUUGCGGAAGUAACUAUGCACGUCGUGACGGUACCUAAUCAGAAAGCCACGGCUAACUACGUG
rnacentral:rRNA from 1 species